AGUGAACGCUGGCGGUAGGCCUAACACAUGCAAGUCGAACGGCAGCACAGUAAGAGCUUGCUCUUACGGGUGGCGAGUGGCGGGCGGGUGAGGAAUACAUCGGAAUCUACUUUUUCGUGGGGGAUAACGUAGGGAAACUUACGCUAAUACCGCAUACGACCUACGGGUGAAAGCAGGGGAUCUUCGGACCUUGCGCGAUUGAAUGAGCCGAUGUCGGAUUAGCUAGUUGGCGGGGUAAAGGCCCACCAAGGCGACGAUCCGUAGCUGGUCUGAGAGGAUGAUCAGCCACACUGGAACUGAGACACGGUCCAGACUCCUACGGGAGGCAGCAGUGGGGAAUAUUGGACAAUGGGCGCAAGCCUGAUCCAGCCAUACCGCGUGGGUGAAGAAGGCCUUCGGGUUGUAAAGCCCUUUUGUUGGGAAAGAAAAGCAGCAGGUUAAUACCCCGCUGUUCUGACGGUACCCAAAGAAUAAGCACCGGCUAACUUCGUA
rnacentral:rRNA from 1 species